CCAGCCCUCUAGAGUUCAUUUGAGUCCAGCUGCUACUAUGUUUCUACUGUGAAGCAAUCUUAGGCUGAGAGUCAGAAGAAUUGCUCUCCCAAGGGAGCGCGUCUGAUGGUGAUCACCACUAGGGAUGAGCAGGAAGAUUAGCCCUGAGCUAACUGCUGCCAAUCCUCCUCUUUUUUCUGAGGAAGACCGGCCCUGAGCUAACAUCCGUGCCCAUCUUCCUCUACUUUAUGUGUGGGGCGCCUACCACAGGAUGGCGUGCCCAGUGGUGCCAUGUCCGCACCUGGGAUCUGAACUGGCGAACCCUGGGCUCCCAAGAAGCGGAAAGUGUGCAUUUAACCGCUGCGCCACAGGGCCGGCCCCUCAGUUAUUGUAUUUUUGAAAUCCAGAAUUUCUUUUUGUUUCUCCUCCAAAUAUGCUAUGUCAAAUUUUAUAAUAUUAAAUUCUAUGCUCAAGUUUGUCUUUUAUCUCCUCAAACAUAAGAAGCAUAGUUGUUUCAUACUCUGUUUCUAAUGAUACCCAUGCGCAUAAUUAUCUUUUAUUUUGUGCUGGACAUUAUAUUUGAAAAAUUAUUUAUAAAAACGAUUGCAGGACUAAGGAAUUGUUUUCUUCCGGAAAAUAAUAUUUUCAUUUGCUUCUGCCACAUGCCUUGGCACAAGAUGUCUUAUAUUAUAUUAAUGUAGUUUCAGGGUUUGAAAUGUCUAUACCAUUCAGAUGAUUCAAAACCAGAUUGCAAUUUAUAUGAGGUCUGAUUUACCACCUAUUCAAACGAACUCAUUUCUGGGUCCUGGACUCCAACUUUGUCUCCCAACCCCCACCCUAAAACGCUGUCAAAAGUGCUAUUCAUUCUGUCUCUCCCACUACCUUGUAAACAUAA
rnacentral:lncRNA from 1 species